rnacentral:rRNA from 1 species
GACGAACGCUGGCGGCGUGCUUAACACAUGCAAGUCGAACGGAGAGGCCCUGCUUUUGUUGGGUGCUUGAGUGGCGAACGGGUGAGUAACACGUGAGUAGCCUGCCCUUGUCUUUGGGAUAACUCCCGGAAACUGGGGCUAAUACCGGAUAUGAGCUCCUGCUCCAUGGGGGGGGUGGGAAAGGGUCGGUGGUUGUGGAUGGUCUGGCGGCUUCUCAGCUUGUUGGUGGGGUAGUGACUUACCAAGGCUUUGACGGGUAGCCGGCCUGAGAGGGUGACCGGCGACAUAGGGACUGAGAUACGGCCGAGGCACGUACGGGAGGCAACAGUGGGGAAGAUUGAAGAAUGAGCGGAAGCCGGAGGCAGAAACGCCGCGGGCUGGAUGACGGCCUUCUGGUUGUAAACCGCUUGCGCCUGUAACGAAGCGGGAGUGACGGUAAUGGGUAAAGAAGCACCGGCUAACUACGUG